AUGGGCUGCAUCCUUCCCAAAUGGAUUGACAUUCAGAGAGAGAGCAUCCUGUGAAGCAGGGGUCCAGCUGGACCAGUUCCAAGAGGUUGGGCCGUCAAGAUGACUCAAGCCUGCCACUCCUUCCUUGUUCCAAGUUGCGUCCAAGAGAAAUUCCAGGCGGUCUUGUGAAGUUUAUUCGCAGCAUUUGUGAGAAUUGUGCGGCCGUGUGACAACAAGGGACAAUAAAACUGGCUGCAUGACAAAAUCUGAUUCCCACCUGCUGGAGG